rnacentral:rRNA from 1 species
UACGCCUACGGGAGGCAGCAGUGGGGAAUAUUGCACAAUGGGGGAAACCCUGAUGCAGCGACGCCGCGUGAGUGAAGAAGUAUUUCGGUACGUAAAGCUCUAUCAGCAGGGAAGAAAAAAAGUCCUUUGGACUUUGGACGGUACCUGACCAAGAAGCCCCGGCUAACUACGUGCCAGCAGCCGCGGUAAUACGUAGGGGGCAAGCGUUAUCCGGCAUUACUGGGUGUAAAGGGAGAGUAGGCGGCAAGGUAAGAGAUAUGUGAAAGCCUUAAGCUUAACUUAAGGAUUGCAUAACGA